ensembl:lncRNA
CGACAACAACGACAACAACGACAACAACAACAGAAAAUGCAUCUGUUGUUAUUAUCUCACCCGCAACCACUGCAACUACUAUAACAGGUCAUGGUCCACAAGAUUUAAAUGGCACAACUGCUGAGGUUUCUUUGACUUAUACAACACCGCUCACCAAAACUACUACAACCACCACAGUGGCUGAGAACACAGGAACUUCCACAACUGAUGUACAAACAACUGAUGAAGCAGUCUACCUGUUGAAUCAAACACAGGCUAUAUCUCUGCUCAACGCCUCUCAAGUGUCAGUGUUGGUUGAGACGCUGGAGAAGCAUCUGGACAGUCCCUCUGUUUCACCAUCAGUGGUAAUCAAAGUUGUCAGUAACUUGAUGGACAGUAACCCUGAGGCACUCUCUAAAUCUGCAAACAGGCUGAUUCACUUGGUGGAUGAUCUGGGUGUUAAACUGGCUGUCACUGGUGGCGAUGGAAUUCUGUCAACCAGUUCCUUAGUUGUUGCUGUGAAAACAGUGAAUGGGAGCAAC